rnacentral:rRNA from 1 species
CGUAGGGUCCGAGCGUUGUCCGGAGUUACUGGGCGUAAAGCGCGCGCAGGCGGCGGUGUAAGCAUGGCGUGAAAGCCCCUGGCUUAACCAGGGAGGGUCGUCGUGGACUGCACCGCUUGAGGGCGGUAGGGGCUGGUGGAAUGCCUGGUGUAGUGGUGAAAUGCGUAGAGAUCAGGCGGAACACCCGUGGCGAAGGCGGCCAGCUGGGCCGUCCCUGACGCUGAGGCGCGAAGGCGUGGGGAGCGAACGGGAUUAGAUACCCCGGUAGUCCACGCAGUAAACGAUGCAGACUAGGCGUGGGGGGAGUUGACCCCCUCCGUGCCGGAGCCAACGCGGGAAGUCUGCCGCCUGGGGAGUACGGCCGCAAGGCUA